rnacentral:rRNA from 1 species
GAUGAACGCUGGCGGCGUGCCUAAUACAUGCAAGUCGAGCGAACGGACGAGAAGCUUGCUUCUCUGAUGUUAGCGGCGGACGGGUGAGUAACACGUGGAUAACCUACCUAUAAGACUGGGAUAACUUCGGGAAACCGGAGCUAAUACCGGAUAAUAUUUUGAACCGCAUGGUUCAAAAGUGAAAGACGGUCUUGCUGUCACUUAUAGAUGGAUCCGCGCUGCAUUAGCUAGUUGGUAAGGUAACGGCUUACCAAGGCAACGAUGCAUAGCCGACCUGAGAGGGUGAUCGGCCACACUGGAACUGAGACACGGUCCAGACUCCUACGGGAGGCAGCAGUAGGGAAUCUUCCGCAAUGGGCGAAAGCCUGACGGAGCAACGCCGCGUGAGUGAUGAAGGUCUUCGGAUCGUAAAACUCUGUUAUUAGGGAAGAACAUAUGUGUAAGUAACUGUGCACAUCUUGACGGUACCUAAUCAGAAAGCCACGGCUAACUACGUGCCAGCAGCCGCGGUAAUACGUAGGUGGCAAGCGUUAUCCGGAAUUAUUGGGCGUAAAGCGCGCGUAGGCGGUUUUUUAAGUCUGAUGUGAAAGCCCACGGCUCAACCGUGGAGGGUCAUUGGAAACUGGAAAACUUGAGUGCAGAAGAGGAAAGUGGAAUUCCAUGUGUAGCGGUGAAAUGCGCAGAGAUAUGGAGGAACACCAGUGGCGAAGGCGACUUUCUGGUCUGUAACUGACGCUGAUGUGCGAAAGCGUGGGGAUCAAACAGGAUUAGAUGCCCUGGUAGUCCACGCCGUAAACGAUGAGUGCUAAGUGUUAGGGGGUUUCCGCCCCUUAGUGCUGCAGCUAACGCAUUAAGCACUCCGCCUGGGGAGUACGACCGCAAGGUUGAAACUCAAAGGAAUUGACGGGGGCCCGCACAAGCGGUGGAGCAUGUGGUUUAAUUCGAAGCAACGCGAAGAACCUUACCAAAUCUUGACAUCCUUUGACAACUCUAGAGAUAGAGCCUUCCCCUUCGGGGGACAAAGUGACAGGUGGUGCAUGGUUGUCGUCAGCUCGUGUCGUGAGAUGUUGGGUUAAGUCCCGCAACGAGCGCAACCCUUAAGCUUAGUUGCCAUCAUUAAGUUGGGCACUCUAAGUUGACUGCCGGUGACAAACCGGAGGAAGGUGGGGAUGACGUCAAAUCAUCAUGCCCCUUAUGAUUUGGGCUACACACGUGCUACAAUGGACAAUACAAAGGGCAGCGAAACCGCGAGGUCAAGCAAAUCCCAUAAAGUUGUUCUCAGUUCGGAUUGUAGUCUGCAACUCGACUACAUGAAGCUGGAAUCGCUAGUAAUCGUAGAUCAGCAUGCUACGGUGAAUACGUUCCCGGGUCU